rnacentral:rRNA from 1 species
UACGUAGGGCGCAAGCGUUGUCCGGAAUUAUUGGGCGUAAAGAGCUCGUAGGCGGCCUGUUGCGUCCGCUGUGAAAUCCCGGGGCUCAACCCCGGGCCUGCAGUGGAUACGGGCUGGCUGGAGGCAGGCAGGGGAGAACGGAAUUCCUGGUGUAGCGGUGAAAUGCGCAGAUAUCAGGAGGAACACCGGUGGCGAAGGCGGGUCUCUGGGCCGAUACUGACGCUGAGGAGCGAAAGCGUGGGGAGCGAACAGG